AUUGAACGCUGGCGGCAGGCCUAACACAUGCAAGUCGAGCGAGUGGCGGACGGGUGAGUAAUGUAUGGGGACCUGCCCGAUGGCGGGGGAUAACUACUGGAAACGGUGGCUAAUCCCGCAUACCAUCGGAUGUACCCAUAUGGGAUUAGCGAGUAGGUGGGGUAAAGGCUCACCUAGGCGACGAUCCCUAGCUGGUCUGAGAGGAUGACCAGCCACACUGGGACUGAGACACGGUCCAGACUCCUACGGGAGGCAGCAGUGGGGAAUAUUGCACAAUGGGCGCAAGCCUGAUGCAGCCAUGCCGCGUGUGUGAAGAAGGCCUUCGGGUUGUAAAGUACUUUCAGCGAGGAGGCGUUACCCGCAGAAGAAGCACCGGCUAACUCCGUGCCAGCAGCCGCGGUAAUAC
rnacentral:rRNA from 1 species